GACGAACGCUGGCGGCGUGCUUAACACAUGCAAGUCGAACGGAAAGGCCCUGCUUUUGUGGGGUGCUCGAGUGGCGAACGGGUGAGUAACACGUGAGUAACCUGCCCUUGACUUUGGGAUAACUUCAGGAAACUGGGGCUAAUACCGGAUAGGAGCUCCUGCUGCAUGGGGGGGGUGGGAAGGUUUCGGCGGUGGGGGGUGGACUGUCGGCUUUUCAGCUGGUGGGGGGGGUAGUGGCUUACCAAGGCUUUGACGGGUAGCCGGCCUGAGAGGGUGACCGGCCACAUUGGGACUGAGAUACGGCCCAGACUCCUACGGGAGGCAGCAGUGGGGAAUAUUGCACAAUGGGCGGAAGCCUGAUGCAGCAACGCCGCGUGCGGGAUGACGGCCUUCGGGUUGUAAACCGCUUUCGCCUGUGACGAAGCGUGAGUGACGGUAAUGGGUAAAGAAGCACCGGCUAACUACGUG
rnacentral:rRNA from 1 species